UACGGGGGGGGCAAGCGUUGUUCGGAAUUACUGGGCGUAAAGGGCGCGUAGGCGGUUCGCUAAGUUGAAUGUGAAAACUCUGGGCUUAACCCAGAGCCUGCAUUCAAUACUGGCGGGCUAGAGUUCUGGAGGGGAUAGCGGAAUUCCUGGUGUAGCGGUGAAAUGCGUAGAUAUCAGGAGGAACACCAGUGGCGAAGGCGACACGCUGGGCCGUACCUGACGCUAAAGCGCGACAGCAUGGGGAGCAAACGGG
rnacentral:rRNA from 1 species